UGGGGAAUAUUGCGCAAUGGGGGGAACCCUGACGCAGCCAUGCCGCGUGAAUGAAGAAGGCCUUCGGGUUGUAAAGUUCUUUCGGUAUUGAGGAAGGUUGAUGUGAUAAUAGCACAUCAAAUUGACGUUAAAUACAGAAGAAGCACCGGCUAACUCCGUGCCAGCAGCCGCGGUAAUACGGAGGGUGCGAGCGUUAAUCGGAAUAACUGGGCGUAAAGGGCACGCAGGCGGUUAUUUAAGUGAGGUGUGAAAGCCCCGGGCUUAACCUGGGAAUUGCAUUUCAGACUGGGUAACUAGAGUACUUUAGGGAGGGGUAGAAUUCCACGUGUAGCGGUGAAAUGCGUAGAGAUGUGGAGGAAUACCGAAGGCGAAGGCAGCCCCUUGGGAAUGUACUGACGCUCAUGUGCGAAAGCGUGGGGAGCAAACAGGAUUAGAUACCCUGGUAGUCCACGCUGUAAACGCUGUCGAUUUGGGGGUUGGGGUUUAACUCUGGCGCCCGUAGCUAACGUGAUAAAUCGACCGCCUGGGGAGUACGGCCGCAAGGUUA
rnacentral:rRNA from 1 species